AUAAAAAUUAGCACAAAAAAG
rnacentral:sRNA from 1 species